CAUCCCGAACACGGUAGUUAAGCUUCUCUGCGCCAAUGGUAGUUGGGGGCUUCCCCCUGCGAGAGUAGGUCGCUGCCGGGC
rnacentral:rRNA from 2 species